rnacentral:tRNA from 1 species
GCGCGAGUGGCGAAAUGGCAGACGCGCUGGCUUCAGGUGCCAGUGUUCGUAAGGACGUGGGGGUUCGAGUCCCCCCUCGCGCA